CCCUAAAAUUUCAAAACCUGGCCACACUUUAAUUUUCGGUAAAAAAAAAUUGGAAAAGUAAAUUAAAACACACACACAAACACUGCCUUAGACUGAGAGAAAAUAGGAUCAUUUUUUUAGGGUUUCAUCAAAAUUUUGGGCAAAUUCUAACGAUUUGGUCCGGAAUUCGCAAUUAGGGCUCCAGAUUAAUCGAAUUUCUUGGCUGCGACAUUAUCUCACGUUGCUUGCUUGCUGUUCAUCGAGCAGGAGGAUUGAAUUGGGGUUUCUCAUAACAAUUCGAACAACUUAAGAGGAGAUUUCUCCAGUUUGGAAAUUUACGGGAGUAGCAAAAGUUAUAAAAGGUUUUACAGUGGAAAAAUUCCUAAGCUGAUCACACCAUCUUUUCAUGGGAAGCCGAUAUGUGAGUGAGAUAUGGAAUAUUUGUAUUGUAAAUGUAUUGUUAGUCAAAGUGAACGCACCAUCUUUUCAUGGGAAGCAGAUUGGUGAGUGAGAUGUGCAAUAUUUGUAUUGUUAGUCAAAGUUUCAUAUGCUAGGCUUUUCAUUUUGCUUUAUUUCUGAGCAUGGUCUUUCAGCCAUCAUGUUGUAGUUGUAUAGAGCUUCAAGCUUUUGAGAUGAUUAUAGUUGAUAUAUGCUAGGUAACAAGAACUAUAAUUUGACUUCUUGGGUUGCUGGAUGCGAGCCUGGAUGGGCAUUUGGUUACAUUUAGAGACUGGCCCUAAGACUUUGAUUACUGAUAUUCUGAUCUGCACACACUGGCAGUUAAUAUGCUAUUUCACAUGAUACAUCUUGUUAUUGUCAGCUUCAGACAUGUAAAGAUUAAUAUAUGCUCUCCUUUCCCUUCAUGCGAAUAAUGCUGAGUAGGAGUACUCAAUAAAUACACUCUACCCCCAACUAUUUAUAUAAUUCCAACCGAUACAGCUAAGCUCAUUUAUGAUUUUGCCACUUUUAUUUAUGCGAAGAUUCUGAUUAUCAUGGUAAAGGUACAAUCUUGGUGUGGAUUAGAACACGGAUACCAACUGGACUAAAACGAGAUGAACUCACUGAAUUGGCAAUUGGUUUGGUUAAAGAUACAAAUCUUGGCUUGGAUUCAGAUUCUUUACCAACUGGACUAAAACAGAAUGAACUCACAGAAUGACUAAAACAUAAUGAUUCUUACUGCCCUUUCACGCAAGAGCAGGCGUGGCAGCAUGUAUGGUCCUGCUGCAGCCAAGCUGCACAAUACGGAGUAUAAUUUGUCUGAACUUGCUCACUAUUAGUAAAAUUGUUAGUAAACGACUGCUUUUUUAGUUGCAAUUAGCUUGCUUACUUUCUGUUUCUGCUGCACUUUGGUGGCAACACUCAGCUUUGUAGUAACUUCUUAUUCCUUUAGGUAAAAAUACUUUAUUUUCCAAAAAAAAAACUUGACAUGGAUGAUGACUGUUGUAUUCCUGAUCUUCAUAUUACAGGUUUUGGCUCAAUCCCCGACUAUGGGUGAUUUUGUGAAGCACUGUACAGUAGCUUAGUAUCAUAUCAGAUUCAAGCACUGUUUCAAUGUUUCUCACACUUUGAUGUAUACCUGCUCUUUUAUUACAGGUUUUAGCUAUGGAUAUUGCUUUAGUUUAUUCAUUUUUAAUGGAAGUAAUAACAUGACAAAUCAUUUCUGUUGACUUUAUGUAAGUGUCAUUUUCUGUCAGAUCAUAGAUUAUGCAUUUUUCUGGCGAUUAAUCUCGUUUACUGAAUUGAGAUGCUGAUAAAGUCUUUUAUAUUUUUAUUUGAGUAACACUACUACAUUUUUGACUAAAUGCAACGGUCAUAUAGCAUCUAAUGCAACGGUCAUAUAGCAUCUAAUGCAACAGUAAAAUCUGAACCGUUGCAAUAGGGAUUAUUAUGGUUCUGUAUCAAUUCAGCUUCAUGAUGUUUUUAGUUAAAUGCAAAUUAAAUUAAUAGUGUUUUGGCCUUUGUGCGUGUUGGGAGGAUUAUCAUCAUCUUUUGCUGCUGCUGCUUCUCAUGUUUAUCAAAUUAUGCCUUGUUCAUGAGUUAUAAAAUUAGUUUAAUUGUAGUUGCGGUUUCUAAUUUUUGUGUAGUUGACAAAGAUGGUCCAUGACGAAUUUCAAUGGCAUGAUUUAUGAAUAAAGAGGGUCUGAAAAUUUGAUACUUUGUAUUUACUAGUUGAAACUGAUAAAAAAAAAGGGUUUUGAUGUAGAGGGGAGACAAGGUAUUGCUUCAUAUUAAGCUAUUCAAGCUUCAAGUUGAGCACUGUACUCGCCAACCCUACAAUCUAACCUCUAAUGGGUGUCUCCCCAACAACAGAACCGCAAUAGUGGGUAACUGCAUAUUAUUUCUCUCCUCUAUUUACUUUUUUUGGCUGAUGAUUGAGAUGAAUAGGUUACCCUAAUUCCGAUUUUGGACGCUAAUUGUUGUAUUAGAGGAUUUUGGCGCAAAUAUUAAGCAGGUUCAUAGCGAAUACUCAACAGAAUUGAAAGUUGGAACUCUAAAUGUGGAGGCUUUUAAAUUUUGUUUUCUAUAUUACUUUACAAAAUGCAAACUUCAUCUGUUUGAUUUUUUUACUUUUAUCUUUGUUUCCAUAGAUUUUGUCUUACUUAAACAAGAACUUUGUCAUAGAUAUUGUCUUAAAUUUCACCUAGGAGCUAGCUGCACUCUUAGCAUAAGUUACACAGUGGAUUAAAACCUAUCCAAUUCCAAAUAACAUAUAUCAUUUCACUUGAAGUGUAAUCAUGCUAUCUUUUCCUUUUCUUUUUUUGGAUAUAUAUUUCUCACCGAGGCUCCGCGGAUAAUACUAUGCUGCCCUGGUUGACUGCUUGUACACAGAGGAUUGAUGAGCUGGUGGAUGGUCUAAAUUUCUGUCUCAUGGACUCAGUUGUGUUGGAUAACUGGGAAAAGAGGCUCGAGGACAUCUUUGAUUGAUACCCUCAUGAAAAAAUUGAUGUUGCCUUGGCUGACACUGUCCAACAAUAUCCCUUAGAAAUCAAGAUUUGACGAAAGGAAUGAGAAUGGAUACAUGGAAAACUAGUUAUGAGAACUACGAAGAGCUUGAAAUGUAUUGCUACUAUGCAGCAGGAACUGGUGGCUUAAUGAGUGUUCCGGUAGCAGGAAUUUCACCAGAGUCUGUAAGUUCCACAUAAAGCAUUUAUAAAGCCGCUCUUUCAUUGAGUACCGCAUUACAACUAACAUCCUACAAGAUGGAGCAGAAGAGCAAGCUUUCUUCGAAUUACUCUUUUGGUUUGAUCUCGGUAAAACCAAGCGGCCUGACAUUGCGUGGAACUGCAAAUGUGUUCUUUCCCUUGAGUUGGACUCCAUCAUUGUUACGCACCUCACUAGAGGUCGGCUGAUCACCGGAUGGAUCAAAAGAAUGGCUUCUCUUGGUUCUUGCCUGAUCUCCAGGCCAUAUCUUUGGACCUGAUUGAUUUUUUCUUUUAGAAGGACCAGAUCUGCGAUGCUCAAUUUAUUCUUCAGCAACCAUUGUCUGUUCUUUACCACAACAGCCUCAAGGUGUGCAUCAUCAUAGAAAUCCACAUAUGCAAGACCCCUUGAUUUCACAGUAUGCAAGGCCCCUCGAUGUAUUAUUGUUCCUGCUCAGCUUGGUUCAAACUUUAAACACAAUUUCUACUUCCUCCGUCCUAAAACAGUAAGUUGUAUUUGAUUGGAGUCAUUUUAAGGAUUUGAGAUUUUCAUUUAAAAAUAGUCGUAUCUAGGUAUUGCUUACAAUUUUGUGAAAUUUCAUGCUUUUAUUUGAAUAAAGGUAAAGUUUAUUAUAUUA